UACGGUAGGGUGCAAGCGUUGUCCGGAAUUAUUGGGCGUAAAGAGCUCGUAGGCGGUCUGUCGCGUCUGCUGUGAAAACUCAGGGCUUAACCCUGAGCUUGCAGUGGGUACGGGCAGACGUAGAGUGGCGGUAGGGGAGACUGGAAUUCCGUGGUGAUAGCGGUGAAAUGCGUAGAUAUCGUGGAGGAAUACCGGUGGCGAAGGCGGCGUUCUGGA
rnacentral:rRNA from 1 species